GCAUUGAAUCUCUAGAUACUGAAUAUCAGGCAGUGAAGGAGAGUGAACCCUUAGAGACAGGAAACAA